UGGGGAAUAUUGCACAAUGGAGGGAACUCUGAUGCAGCGACGCCGCGUGAGUGAUGAAGGAAUUAGUUUCGUAAAACUCUGUUCUAUGGGAAGAAAAGGACUGUACCAUAGGAGAAAGCUCCGGCUAAAUACGUGCCAGCAGCCGCGGUAAUACGUAUGGAGCGAGCGUUGUCCGGAAUUAUUGGGCGUAAAGGGUGCGCAGGCGGCUUUACAAGUUGGAUGUGAAAUAUUGUGGCUCAACCACAAACGUGCAUCCAAAACUGCAAAGCUUGAGUUAAGGAGAGGUAAGUGGAAUUCCUGGUGUAGCGGUGGAAUGCGUAGAUAUCAGGAGGAAUACCGGUGGCGAAUGCGACUUACUGGACUUAAACUGACGCUCAGGCACGAAAGCGUGGGGAGCAAACAGG
rnacentral:rRNA from 1 species